rnacentral:rRNA from 1 species
UACGUAGGGGGCAAGCGUUGUCCGGAAUCAUUGGGCGUAAAGAGCGUGUAGGCGGCCCGAUAAGUCCGCUGUGAAAGUCCAGGGCUCAACCCUGGGAUGCCGGUGGAUACUGUCGGGCUCGAGUCCGGAAGAGGAGAGUGGAAUUCCUGGUGUAGCGGUGAAAUGCGCAGAUAUCAGGAGGAACACCAAUUGCGAAGGCAGCUCGCUGGGACGUGACUGACGCUGAGACGCGAAAGCGUGGGGAGCAAACAGG